CAUGCAGUCGAACGAUGAUGCCCAGCUUGCUGGGUGGAUUAGUGGCGAACGGGUGAGUAACACGUGAGUAACCUGCCCCUGACUCUGGGAUAAGCGUUGGAAACGACGUCUAAUACUGGAUAUGAUCACUGGCCGCAUGGUCUGGUGGUGGAAAGAUUUUUUGGUUGGGGAUGGACUCGCGGCCUAUCAGCUUGUUGGUGAGGUAAUGGCUCACCAAGGCGACGACGGGUAGCCGGCCUGAGAGGGUGACCGGCCACACUGGGACUGAGACACGGCCCAGACUCCUACGGGAGGCAGCAGUGGGGAAUAUUGCACAAUGGGCGAAAGCCUGAUGCAGCAACGCCGCGUGAGGGAUGACGGCCUUCGGGUUGUAAACCUCUUUUAGUAGGGAAGAAGCGAAAGUGACGGUACCUGCAGAAAAAGCACCGGCUAACUACGUGCCAGCAGCCGCGGUAAUACGUAGGGUGCAAGCGUUGUCCGGAAUUAUUGGGCGUAAAGAGCUCGUAGGCGGUUUGUCGCGUCUGCUGUGAAAUCCCGAGGCUCAACCUCGGGCUUGCAGUGGGUACGGGCAGACUAGAGUGCGGUAGGGGAGAUUGGAAUUCCUGGUGUAGCGGUGGAAUGCGCAGAUAUCAGGAGGAACACCGAUGGCGAAGGCAGAUCUCUGGGCCGUAACUGACGCUGAGGAGCGAAAGCAUGGGGAGCGAACAGGAUUAGAUACCCUGGUAGUCCAU
rnacentral:rRNA from 1 species